UACGUAGGGGGCAAGCGUUGUCCGGAUUUAUUGGGCGUAAAGCGCUCGCAGGUGGUUCGUUGCGUCGGGCGUGAAAGACCCCGGCUCAACUGGGGGAUGUCGUGCGAUACGGGCGGACUGGAGGCCAGUAGGGGGAUGCGGAAUUCCGGGUGUAGUGGUGGAAUGCGUAGAGAUCCGGAGGAACACCAGCGGCGAAGGCGGCAUCCUGGACUGGUCCUGACACUCAGGAGCGAAAGCGUGGGGAGCGAUCCGG
rnacentral:rRNA from 1 species